UCUUCCCUUCCAGGGCGGACACGAUCUCUCCCAUCAUCCGCACCAGGUCCUCAUACUUGUACGUGUUGUCCGUGAGCCACACGGCCUCGCGGAUGGUCAGGAUCUCCUUACUGAUGAACCUGGAAGGCCAAGAAGGGGCCUCAGCAGGGCCCAGGUUCUGGGAGGCUUCAAGUGAGAACAUUUGAUGCUCUUGGGGGAGACCUCAUAGCAAAGUGGCCAAGAGCUGGCUCGGCUCAGGUGGCUUUGAAACCUGGCCCACGUGUGACCACAGGCAAACUGCAGUACCUCCGUGCACCCCAGUUUCUUCCUCUUUCAUGAACGGCGUAACAACAGCAUCUGCUUUGGCAGGUGAUGAGAGUUCACUAAGAUGUGUCAGCACUUAGCAUGUGACCCGCCAAGACCCCACCCAGAUGGUUAUUUUCCACCAUUUUUAUAUAUUUCCUUCUGGACUUUUCCAUGCAUUUGUAACAUCACAUGUAUAUGCAUCUGUGACCGAAGUAUGUACACAUUUUUAUCUUUUCUUUGCCCACCUAACAAUAGUGUGUCUCCUCAUGUUAUUAAACAUCUGCUCGAGUGUUUGACCUAUUCUU